UUACAACAAACAUAUAUUUAUCUCAGUGAGAUAUUGUGAAGAAGUUUGGAAUUAAGGAUGAGUGAGCCACCAAAGUAUGCACAUCCCUACCCUGCUCAAGGUUAUUAUCAAGGUCCUCCAGUGAUGCCUCCACCACCUCAAUAUUAUUAUGCAGCUCCUCCUCCAAGAAGGGAACCUGGCUUUCUUGAGGGAUGUCUGGCAGCUUUGUGUUGCUGUUUCCUGAUUGAUGAGUGUUGCUGUGACCCUUCUAUCCUCUUCAUCUGUUGAUAAACUAUU